CCCUAUGGCCAUGCCUCCCUGAACAAACCCCAUCCCGUAUGAUCUUGGAAGCUAAGCAGGGGUUAGGCCUCGUUAGUACUUGGAUGGGAGACCACCUGGGAAGACGAGGUGCUGUAGGCA
rnacentral:rRNA from 1 species